GUAGGGGGCAAGCGUUAUCCGGAUUUACUGGGUGUAAAGGGAGCGUAGACGGCACUGCAAGUCCGGAGUGAAAGCCCAAGGCUUAACCAUGGGACUGCUCUGGAAACUGUGGAGCUGGAGUGCGGGAGGGGCAGGCGGAAUUCCUAGUGUAGCGGUGAAAUGCGUAGAUAUUAGGAGGAACACCGGCGGCGAAGGCGGCCUGCUGGACCGUAACUGACGUUGAGGCUCGAAAGCGUGGGGAGCAAA
rnacentral:rRNA from 1 species